rnacentral:rRNA from 1 species
CCUACGGUGGGCAGCAGUGGGGAAUAUUGCGCAAUGGGGGCAAGCCUGACCCAGCAACGCCGCGUGAAUGAAGAAGGCUUUCGGGUUGUAAACUUCUUUUAGGAGGGAAGAGCGCAAGACGUUACCUCUUUAAUGAGCCACUGCUAACUACGUGAAAGCAGCCGCGGUAAUACGUAGGUGGCAAGCGUUGUCCGGAUUUACUGGGUGUAAAGGGCGUGCAGCCGGGAGUACAAGUCAGAUGUGAAAUCCCAGGGCUCAACCGCGGAAUUGCAUUUGAAACUGUGUGGCUUGAGUACCGGAGAGGGCAGCGGAAUUCCUUGUGUAGCGGUGAAAUGCGUAGAUAUAAGGAAGAACACCAGUGGCGAAGGCGGAUGACUGGACGGCAACUGACGGUGAGGAGCGAAAGCGUGGGGAGCAAACAGGAUUAGAUACCCGAGUAGUC